rnacentral:rRNA from 1 species
ACGGGAGGCAGCAGUGAGGAAUAUUGGUCAAUGGACGGAAGUCUGAACCAGCCAAGUCGCGUGAAGGAUGAAGGUUCUAUGGAUUGUAAACUUCUUUUGCAUGAGGGUAAAGUGACCUACGUGUAGGUUAUUGCAAGUAUCAUGUGAAUAAGCAUCGGCUAACUCCGUGCCAGCAGCCGCGGUAAUACGGAGGAUGCGAGCGUUAUCCGGAUUUAUUGGGUUUAAAGGGUGUGUAGGCGGGCUGUUAAGUCAGCGGUGAAAGUUUGCGGCUCAACCGUAAAAUUGCCGUUGAAACUGGCGGUCUUGAGUGUAAACGAGGUAGGCGGAAUGUGAUGUGUAGCGGUGAAAUGCUUAGAUAUGUCACAGAACUCCGAUUGCGAAGGCAGCUUACCAGGAUACAACUGACGCUGAGGCACGAAAGCGUGGGUAUCAAACAGGAUUAGAUACCCUGGUA